rnacentral:rRNA from 1 species
CCUACGGGUGGCAGCAGUCGAGAAUCAUUCACAAUGGGCGAAACCCUGAUGGUGCGACGCCGCGUGGGGGAAUGAAGGUCUUCGGUUUGUAAACCCCUGUCAUGUGGGAGCAAAUUAAAAAGAUAGUACCACAAGAGUACGAGACGGCUAACUCUGUGCCAGCAGCCGCGGUAAUACAGAGGUCUCAAGCGUUGUUCGGAAUCAUGGGGCGUAAAGCGUACGUAGGCUGUUUCGUAAGUCGUGUGUGAAAGGCGCGGGCUCAACCCGCGGACGGCACAUGAUACUGCGAGACGAGAGUGAUGGAGGGGGAACCGGAAUUCUCGGUGUAGCAGUGAAAUGCGUAGAUAUAGAGAGGAACACUCGUGGCGAAGGCGGGUUCCUGGACAUUAACUGACGCUGAGGCACGAAGGCCAGGGGAGCGAAAGGGAUUAGAUACCCGGGUAGUC